rnacentral:rRNA from 1 species
CAGCAGCCACGGUAACACGUAGGGCGCAAGCGUUAUCCGGAAUUAUUGGGCGUAAAGAGCUCGUAGGCGGUUUGUCGCGUCUGCCGUGAAAGUCCGGGGCUCAACCCCGGAUCUGCGGUGGGUACGGGCAGACUAGAGUGAUGUAGGGGAGACUGGAAUUCCUGGUGUAGCGGUGAAAUGCGCAGAUAUCAGGAGGAACACCGAUGGCGAAGGCAGGUCUCUGGGCAUUAACUGACGCUGAGGAGCGAAAGCAUGGGGAGCGAACAGGAUUAGAUACCCGCGUAGUCCCUGUCUCUUAUAA